UUUCAUGACUAUCUCAACUAUUUUAUGACUUCGAGCAUUGUUUCAUCAUUUUCUGUACUAUUUUAUGACUUUCUGCACUAUUUUAUGACUUUCAAUAAUAUUUUAUUAGUUCCACCAAUAUAUUUUUAUGACUUCCUCAACUAUUUCUUGACAUCCGACACUGUUUUAUAACAUCAUGCACUAUUUAUGACUUCCUCUGCUAUUUUAUGAUAUUGUGCACUAUUUUAUGACUUCUGGCACUGUUUCAUCAUUUUCGUCAAUAUUUUAUGAUUUUUGAUAUUUUUUCAUGACAUCCGAUACUAUUUCAUAUCUUCCAACA
rnacentral:lncRNA from 1 species